rnacentral:rRNA from 1 species
UGGGGAAUAUUGGACAAUGGGCGCAAGCCUGAUCCAGCCAUGCCGCGUGAGUGACGAAGGUCUUCGGAUUGUAAAGCUCUUUUGCCAGGGACGAUAAUGACGGUACCUGGAGAAUAAGCCCCGGCUAACUUCGUGCCAGCAGCCGCGGUAAUACGAAGGGGGCUAGCGUUGUUCGGAAUCAUUGGGCGUAAAGCGGAUGUAGGUUGCUUUGUAAGUCAGGUGUGAAAUCCCAGGGCUCAACCCUGGAAGUGCAUUUGAUACUGCGAAGCUUGAGUGGUGGAGAGGUAAACAGAAUUCCUGGUGUAGUGGUGAAAUACGUAGAUAUCAGGAGGAAUACCGGAGGCGAAGGCGGUUUACUGGCCACACACUGACACUGAGAUCCGAAAGCAUGGGGAUCAAACA